GACAGAGGAUGCAAGCGUUAUCCGGAAUGAUUGGGCGUAAAGCGUCUGUAGGUGGCUUUUUAAGUCUGCCGUCAAAUCCCAGGGCUUAACCCUGGACAGGCGGUGGAAACUACCAAGCUGGAGUACGGUAGGGGCAGGGGGAAUUUCCGGUGGAGCGGUGAAAUGCGUAGAGAUCAUGAGGAAGACCAGCGGCGAAGGCGGGUCUCUGGACAGUUCCUGACACUGAGGCACGAAGGCCAGGGGAGCAAACGGG
rnacentral:rRNA from 1 species